rnacentral:rRNA from 1 species
UUUAAGGUCUAAUCUGCCCUAUGAGGAUUUAAAUGGCCGCGGUAUUUUGACCGUGCAAAGGUAGCAUAAUAAUUAGUUUUUUAAUUGAAAGCUAGCAUGAAUGAUUGGACGAGAAAAUAACUGUCUCAAUUUAAUUUAAUUAGAAUUUUAUUUUUAAGUAAGAAAGCUUAAAUAUUAUUAAAAGACGAGAAGACCCUAUAGAGUUUUAUUAUUAGAUAAUUAUAAAUUUUUUAGUUUAAUUAUAUUAUUAUUUAUUUAAUAAUUUUGUUGGGGCGAUAGAAAAAUUUAAUAAACUUUUUUUAAAAAAAAACCAUUAAUCUAUGAUUAAUUGAUCCAUUUUUUAUGAUUAUAAGAUUAAAUUACCUUAGGGAUAACAGCGUAAUUUUUUUUUAGAGUUCUUAUCGAAAGAAAAGAUUGCGACCUCGAUGUUGGAUUAAAAUUAAUGUUGGGUGUAGUAGCUUGAUAAUUGGGUCUGUUCGACCUUUGAAAUUUUACAUGAUCUGAGUUUAAACCGGUGUGAGCCAGGUUGGUUUCUAUCUUUAAUUAGUUGAAAUAUUUUAGUACGAAAGGACCAAGUAUUUGUAAUAAUUUAUUUAAUUUUGAUUAAUAUUAG